rnacentral:rRNA from 2 species
GGUAAUGCCGGAUGCUCCAGUUGAUCGCAUGGUCUUCUGGGAAAGCUUUCGCGGUAUGGGAUGGGGUCGCGUCCUAUCAGCUUGACGGCGGGGUAACGGCCCACCGUGGCUUCGACGGGUAGCCGGCCUGAGAGGGCGACCGGCCACAUUGGGACUGAGAUACGGCCCAGACUCCUACGGGAGGCAGCAGUGGGGAAUAUUGCACAAUGGGCGCAAGCCUGAUGCAGCGACGCCGCGUGAGGGAUGGAGGCCUUCGGGUUGUAAACCUCUUUUAUCGGGGAGCAAGCGAGAGUGAGUUUACCCGUUGAAUAAGCACCGGCUAACUACGUGCCAGCAGCCGCGGUAAUACGUAGGGUGCAAGCGUUAUCCGGAAUUAUUGGGCGUAAAGGGCUCGUAGGCGGUUCGUCGCGUCCGGUGUGAAAGUCCAUCGCUUAACGGUGGAUCCGCGCCGGGUACGGGCGGGCUUGAGUGCGGUAGGGGAGACUGGAAUUCCCGGUGUAACGGUGGAAUGUGUAGAUAUCG